rnacentral:lncRNA from 1 species
CUUGCACAUCAUUUUCUUUGUCCUCAAAGGAUGAGAACCUUACUGUGUGGCUUUCUGUACACUGGAACCCCCUUUUACUUGGUAUGGUGAAAUACUAACCUUAAAUGUGGAUGAUCCUCAUCCUACUGAGGCACAUGGCACUAAGGAACUAUACUGAUACUUGGACCUGUGAGAAUUUUCUUCUUGGGCAUCUUGAAGUCUUCCUGGUAAGUU